rnacentral:rRNA from 1 species
CUCGUAGGUGGCCAACUAAGUCAGACGUGAAAUCCCUCGGCUUAACCGGGGAACUGCGUCUGAUACUGGAUGGCUUGAGUUCGGGAGAGGGAUGCGGAAUUCCAGGUGUAGUGGUGAAAUGCGUAGAUAUCUGGAGGAACACCGGUGGCGAAGGCGGCAUCCUGGACCGACACUGACGCUGAGGAGCGAAAGCCAGGGGAGCAAACG